rnacentral:misc_RNA from 1 species
GGGGGCGCGUGAGUUUCCUGGAGGCCUUCCAUAGUGAGUAUUUGGAGUCGGCUGUGGGGGACAAGCUGGCGAGAUAUUUGUGAAAACGGUCAUUAUUGUACUUUUUAAUGGUUUUGGAUAGUUUUCUAGUUGCGUUGUUUAGUUUGCGUUUGUCCUCCGGUGUUCUAUGGGUCUGCCAUAUCCUUCUUAGUCUACGUUUUUCUGCUAUUUUUUUAAUAUGUACUGGGGGUAUUCGUGAUUGCUGAUGGACGUUUUUGCCGGUGUGGAGAAGCGGAUAGCGUUUAUUAUGCUCGUGUUUAGGUAUUCCGUGGCUGCUUUGAUUUCUUCAUUGGUUUUUAGUGAAGUUGAGGCUGAAGUUGUGUGUGUAAAGACUUCUCUAAAGAGCUGCCAGUUGGUGUGUUGGUUAUGAAUGGAGCCAUUAGGUGUAUUCUCGAUGAUAGUAGAACUGACUGUUACUAUCACGGGGGAAUGAUCAGAGGAGAGAUCAGCCGAGGAAUUGAUUUGGACGUGUCUUGACGAGAUAUUUUUAGUUAUGAGGAAAUCAAGGAGAUCGGGUAUUUUGUUUGUGUCGGUGGGCCAGUGUGUGGGUUCGUAUGAGGUAAGGUAGUUGAGGUUGUUGGAUAUUAUGCUGUUGAGGAGGUUUUUGCCUCUUACUGUAACCUGUCUGCUACCCCAUUGGGUGUGUUUAGCGUUGUAGUCUCCUCCGGCUAUGCAUCUGUUGCCCAGGGUAUCUAGGAAGUGGUCGAAGUCUUCUUUGGCGAUGGAGUGUCUGGGAGGGCAGUAUACAGCUGAAGUGGUGAU